UCCCUCCCCUCCUCUCUCUGCCAAGAAACCUCUGUCACCUGCUCUCAGACACCCGGGGCGAGCGGCACCGGGAGGAAAGGGCAGCGGGGAGCCACGGCACGGGGACCCUCGGGCCGGCGUGCCGGGUGGGCUCUGCCUCCCACUUUCCUUCAGCGUUCGGGUCAUCGGGCUCACAGCCUGUGCAGGGAGGACAGGGAGCUUGGCUGCUGGAGAAUGGCAGCAGGAUUUAACUAGGAGGGCACGGAAAACUGGGAGAGAACUCACGGGAGCUGAGGCAAUUGCGGGAAACCAGAGCGGCUUUUCAGCACCGUUGCCCGGCCUGUGAAGCAACAUGAGUCACAAGGGAUCCCUCAGCAGCAACCCCGGCUCAUCAAAUGGCAGCAUGGGCAAAGCYGACGGAGCCUCCAAGCUGAGCGCGAAGGACCUUUACG